GGUGAAGUGUCCGAGUGGUUAUGGAGUGUCGUUCAGGAGUCUGACUAUCCCGGCAUGCGAAAGCGCGUGGGUUCGAACCCCACCUUCAUCA
rfam:Cryptococcus depauperatus CBS 7841 supercont1.10, whole genome shotgun sequence.